rnacentral:rRNA from 1 species
GCCUGGGAAACUGGGUCUAAUACCGGAUAUGACUUCUCAUCGCAUGGUGGGGGGUGGAAAGCUUUUGUGGUUUUGGAUGGACUCGCGGCCUAUCAGCUUGUUGGUGGGGUAAUGGCCUACCAAGGCGACGACGGGUAGCCGGCCUGAGAGGGUGACCGGCCACACUGGGACUGAGACACGGCCCAGACUCCUACGGGAGGCAGCAGUGGGGAAUAUUGCACAAUGGGCGCAAGCCUGAUGCAGCGACGCCGCGUGAGGGAUGACGGCCUUCGGGUUGUAAACCUCUUUCAGUAGGGAAGAAGCCCUCUUUUGGGGGUGACGGUACUUGCAGAAGAAGCGCCGGCUAACUACGUGCCAGCAGCCGCGGUAAUACGUAGGGCGCAAGCGUUAUCCGGAAUUAUUGGGCGUAAAGAGCU